AGUGAACGCUGGCGGUAGGCCUAACACAUGCAAGUCGAACGGCAGCACAGUAAGAGCUUGCUCUUACGGGUGGCGAGUGGCGGACGGGUGAGGAAUACAUCGGAAUCUACUUUUUCGUGGGGGAUAACGUAGGGAAACUUACGCUAAUACCGCAUACGACCUACGGGUGAAAGCAGGGGAUCUUCGGACCUUGCGCGAUUGAAUGAGCCGAUGUCGGAUUAGCUAGUUGGCGGGGUAAAGGCCCACCAAGGCGACGAUCCGUAGCUGGUCUGAGAGGAUGAUCAGCCACACUGGAACUGAGACACGGUCCAGACUCCUACGGGAGGCAGCAGUGGGGAAUAUUGCACAAUGGGCGCAAGCCUGAUCGAGCCACGCCGCGUGAAUGAUGAAGGCCUUCGGGUCGUAAAGCUCUGUUGUUAGGAAAGAAAAUCAGUAGAUGAAACCCCCGCUGUCUUGACGGUACCUAAUGAAUAAGCACCGGCUAACUUCGUG
rnacentral:rRNA from 1 species